rnacentral:lncRNA from 1 species
ACAGUACAAAAUAAAAAAAAGAGAAAUAAAUUGAAUGGGAAAACCCAACGUCUCUCUCCUUCCCACUCAUUCCUCACCACACUCAGAAAAGACAAAAAAAAAAAAAGGAAAAUAAAGAUCCUCACAAUCGGUCUCUCGUACAAAAACCCACGUUAACCUCACACUCCCGGAGACUGUUCAUUCAUCCCCUCCCACUCUUAAUACCUCAGUCUCUAAAAAAAAAAUUAUUCAUCGCCUCUCUCAACCCUUCACUAUUCAUCGUCAUCUCCGCCUCUUCAACAACCCUCAAAAAUCCCUUCAUCUUCUUU